rnacentral:rRNA from 1 species
GGAAAGAGCCCAGCACUGAAUCCCGCGGUUGUCACGGCCGCGGGAGAUGUGGUGUUCGGGAGGUUCCGCUUUCUCGUCGUCGCGUCUCCUGUCCAAGUUCGUCUUGAACGGGGCCGUUUUCCCGUAGAGGGUGCCAGGCCCGUAGCGACGGAGCGCGGCGGCGAGAGGGACUCUCCUCAGAGUCGGGUUGCUUGAGAGUGCAGCCCUAAGUGGGUGGUAAACUCCAUCUAAGGCUAAAUAUUACCGCGAGACCGAUAGCGAACAAGUACCG